rnacentral:rRNA from 1 species
AACGUAGGAGACAAACGUUAUCCGGAGUUACUGGGCGUAAAGGGCGUGUAGGUGGUUACGUAAGUCUGGCGUGAAAUUUCUCGGCUUAACCGAGGCAGGUCGUCGGAUACUGCGAGACUAGAGGACGGUAGAGGCGUGUGGAAUUCCGGGUGUAGUGGUGAAAUGCGUAGAGAUCCGGAAGAACACCGGUGGCGAAGGCGGCCUGCUGGGCAGUUUUGCUGACACUGAGGCGCGACAGCGUGGGGAGCAAACAGG